GUUCAGAGAGGUGUUUCCAGGACUGUCUAACCUGAGAAUGGUAAAAUCAAUGCUCAAUCUCAGGUUCGUCAGCCCAUGAAACGCUUUCUCAAUU
ensembl:miRNA